rnacentral:lncRNA from 1 species
AGCAUAUUGAAGAGACUUGGUAAGGCUACUCCACCAACCUCUAAAUCAGUUCUGAUUCUCCAGCUUUUCUUCUUUCCUUCUAGGUGAAACUACUUUGUCUAGUCAAUAUAUCUAUUGGCUGAUUCUAAUUUCUUAUAAGACAGACAGUUGUGUGAUAACCAAGUAUCACCUGGCAAUAAUCAGUGGUUUUCUGGAGACGCAUUGUUUACUAGCGUUAAGAACUUAGCCUUAAGAGUGAGUCAGGGUUGUGUUGGAACCCCUGUUCUGUUAUUUACUUAUGAUGUGAUGUUGGGCAAGUUACUUAACCUCUCUAGGCCCCUGUUUUCUCAUUUGUAAAAUGAGGAUAAUAUACUACCUACCACACAGGUUAUUGGGAGGAAUACAUGAAAUAAUGCAUAUAUUUCUCUUAGAAAUGACCCUUUAGCACAGGGCCCACCCCUCAAUAAGUGCUAAAUAAAGUUAGCAAUUGUCAUUUUUUUUACUUUAAGUUCCGGGGUACAUGUGCAGAAUGUGCAAGUUUGUUCUAUAGGUAUACAUGUGCCAUGGUGGUUUGCUGCACCCAUCAACCCAUGAUCUACAUUAGGUAUUUCUCCUAAUGCUCUCCCUCCCCUAGCCUGCCACCCCCUGACAGGCUCCCGUGUGUGAUGUUCCCCUCCCUGCGUCCAUGUGUUCUCGUUGAUCAACUCCCACUUAUGAGUGAGAACAUGUGGUAUUUGGUUUUCUGUUCUUGUAUCAGUUUGCUAAGAAUGAUGGUUUCCAACGUCAUCCAUGUUCCUGCAAAGGACACAAACUCAUUCUUUUUUAUAGCAAUUAUCUUAAAUGUAUCUGUCUUCACCCUGCUUCACCCAAUUUUAUAAUUUGUUUAUUUAACAGAUCAAUUCUAUGUGGGACUGAACAUAACAAUAAGCAUUCUUGGAGACUGAAAAUGUACAAACGCUGGAUGUUAAUGAGUUGCUGGAGACUGAAAGGUCAUACAGGUGCAGGAUGGUAGGCAGAUGCUGGCACCAUAACGUGUCUCACUCUGUCCCCAGGCUGGAGUGUAGUGGUGUGAUCAUGACUCACUGUAGCCUCAACCUCCUAGGCUCAAGCAGUCCUCCCACCUUGGCUUCUGGAAGCAGCUGGGACUACAGACAUGAGCCACCACACCCAGGUAAUUUUUCUUUUUUCUUUUUUCUUUUUUUUUUUUUUUUAAACUUUUUAUAGAGAUGGAAUCUCACUGUGUUGCCCAGGCUGGUCACAAACUCCUAGGUUCAAGUAAUCCUCCCACUUUGGACUCUUAUAUGAAAUUUCUGAUAAAUUUAAUCAAUAUAAAAUUUCAUAACUAGAGAGCAUAGUUAUGAGGGCACUUUAAAAAAUAUAAUUACAUGGUUCAUAGUGUUUCCAUUUUUAAAAUUAUGUAUAAUUUUAUAAUCAGAAAAUAUCAACAAAGCCUAAAUAGAAAGAGAAAAACCAUCUAAGUCCUGACACAGGAUAUUUUUGGUGCCACUUCACCAGCCAGAGACGCCUGUGAUUGGUGGCGCCUCUGUUUCAGUUUCAUUCAUGUCCACUAGGCUUGCUUUCCCCACUCAGCCCAGCAGCCUGUACUUGGAUUGUGCUACUAGUCUAGACGCCACACUCACCGUGGGAUCCACACUCAGCCCACAGCUUCCACCUUGGGUG